GAGAUGUUUGCUGCUGCCAACAGUGAAGCAGUUCUCUGAAUUUGAUUUUCACACCACAGGUGAGAGAAGAACCAGUGCACCAUUGUAAUACAAACAAAGCUAAACCCAUCUCCAGCCAUAAAUACAUCAGUAUCCAGUGUCUGGGAUUCAUCACAGUCUUCUAGAUCCUCCAAAUGUGUCGGCCACGUCUCCAGCUCUGCCUCACAGCACACACAGCUUGUCAUCGGGGCUCCAGCUGGCUCCCGUCCACUGCAGAGGCAGUCAUCCCUGGUCAUCCCAUGGCACUGGCAUCUCCAGACGCUGGUGACUCUUGCUGCAGCUGGGCUGCACGCUCACCCACAGCCUCUCCUGGGCUCUGUCAUGGCGCCUCAGCUUCUCUCCUUGACUCCUUCAACCUUGGGACUGGGACUGCUCCACAGGCUGCGUCUGCACCGGUGGCCUCUCCUGUCUUUCCACAGUGCUGAGCCUCAGCUGCUCUGUGUGACCCUCCAUUCCUCCAGCUACACCACCUGAGACCCUUACACAGUACCCGGGUCAGCUGUCAGCACAAGGUAACACCUAGGCCAUGUCCAGAGCACAGCUUCCUGACUCUCGGGAGAUCCUUCCUAGAAAACUUCCCCUCAAUGAUGUUGGUCUCUUCUUAAUCACAACUGAUGCUUCAGCCCCAGGUGACAGCGCUCACUGUCCCAUCAAAGCAAAGGUUUGCUAUACUUCUCUGGUCUCUUGUGAAACAUAACACACUCUUCAGCUCUAACUGGCCAGAUACCACAGAUUGUUUGUUCAGAUGACUUAAGAGAGUCUUUGCUUCCCUCACAAGCCAGGCCUCCAUCAUCUGAUCUGUCCCCAGAAGGCUUCUCUUCCAAGCUAUUACAGAACAGAUGCUCACUGUGCUCUCAACACUCAGUGAUUUUUCUGUCUCAAAGUUUCAAAAUUCUUCCACCAUCCUGUCCACAAUGCAUCCUCAGAUCUUUGGCAGCAACACCCAACAAUCAUUUACCUAGUUGAGGUCAUUAUUGCUGGGAGGAAACACUGUGACCAAUGCAAGUUGGGAAGGCAAAGUUUUAUUUGGCUUGGACUUCCACAGCAUAGUCUAUCACUGCAGGAAGUCAGAACAGGAUCUCAGGCAGAAACUGAAACAGGCCAAGGUAGGAAGGAGGGGGUGCUGCUUACCUGCUUGCUCCCCUUUGCUCUCUCAUUCUGAUUCCUUAUAGAAACCAGGACGACCAUUCCAGGGAGGCCUGAACAACAGUGUGCUAAGCCCUUCCACAUCAAUUAUUAAAUCAGAUGAUGCCUUAUAGGAUUGCCUACAACUCAGUAUUAUAAAAACAUUUCCUCAGUUGGAGUUCCCUCCACUCUAACAAGUCCAUCUUGUGUGCAAUUGACAUACAACUCACCAGUACACCCCCAGAGCUGACUUGUAGUCCAUUUUAGGUCGCAAGUGUCCAGAGCACAUGUCUGAUGUCAUUAUACCAAUCCAUCUGCUCAGUUCAUCUCUGCAGUGAAGCUGAGGUGCUGUGCAUUGGUCCAGGAGGGUUCUUCUCUUAGGAUGCCCAGAAUGGAGACAUGGUUUGUGAGCAGUGGUGGAGAGCCUGGGUGGGCACUUUCAGGCUCAGCCUUGGAUCUUGGUUGGGACCAACUCUGUCUGUUGGCCAUGGAGCCUUCUACCUCACCAAAGGAUGUAGUCUCAAAACCUGGCUAGAAUGAUGUUGAAGAUAUCCUACAGAAAACACUUCCUUUGUAACACAAUUUUUCUUUUGGACCCAUCCUCACACUGAGAGCACUGUCUUGCUGAUGGCACACCAGCUGUUUGCUCAGUGACACCUCUCUGUGAUGAUUCAAUCAGGGAUUCAGUGAUCCUGAUAACUAAGCCUUCAUAGCUGUGUGACAGGAUCCUCAGGUGUGAGAGACCUUCCCUGUGACCCCAGCAGAUCCUCCCACUAAAUCCUGCUCAAACCCUGUCACCAUUGCCACCAGCCCCCCUCUGAUUGACACUUCUUUCCAGUCUCCCUCCCUCUGACCUCCAUUGCUUUCCUCCCUCCCCUCAGCCUCAGCCUGCAGGGUCCUCUCACUCACUCCUUCCCCUGCCUAGGUGUGGGAUUUCCCUCACCCUUAAUGCAGAACAUUGUACAGGAACUUAGGGAACAAUCAGAAGCUGUCCUCCCCUGCCCCCAUCAAACACUUCCUGCCAAUAUUAAAGGAGCUUUCUUCUUUAACCCAAGUCACCAUAAGAGGCUUUCACUUUCUGACUUCCCUGGGCCUCUCUUCAAGGCCCCUCUGCAUGAGCUCUGUGACCCAUCUUCCACUUUGUCCCUACCAAGGGUGUGAUCUGAUAAAAAUAAAUAUAAAUAAAUAAAAUAAAUAAAUAAACAAAAACUUAUUUUA